rnacentral:rRNA from 1 species
UACGUAGGGCGCAAGCGUUGUCCGGAAUUAUUGGGCGGAAAGAGCUCGUAGGCGGUCUGUCGCGUCCGUUGUGAAAACUCGAGGCUCAACCUCGGGCUUGCAGUGGAUACGGGCAGACUAGAGUGCGGUAGGGGAGACUGGAAUUCCUGGUGUAGCGGUGGAAUGCGCAGAUAUCAGGAGGAACACCGAUGGCGAAGGCAGGUCUCUGGGCCGCAACUGACGCUGAGGAGCGAAAGCAUGGGGAGCGAACAGG